AUUUGGAAAGUCAAAAUGCCUUUGAAGAUCAAGAUCUUCUUAUGGUUAAUGAUCAAAAACAUUGCCCUGACCAAAGGCAAUUUGCUCCAGAGGGGAUGGACUGGGAAUAGUCAAUGUUCGUUUUGUGGUCAUGAUGAAACUACUAAGCAUCUAUUAUUUUAUUGUAAUAUGCCAAAGUUCUCCUGGAGCUUAGUCCUCAGUUCCUUUGGCUUAGUCAAGCCCUCUCGAGACGUUGAUGACCUGGUGGGCCCCUCUGGAUAA
rnacentral:rRNA from 1 species